rnacentral:rRNA from 1 species
CAUAUCAAUAAGCGGAGGAAAAGAAACCAACAGGGAUUGCCCUAGUAACGGCGAGUGAAGCGGCAACAGCUCAAAUUUGAAAUCUGGCUCUUUUAGGGUCCGAGUUGUAAUUUGCAGAGGGCGCUUUGGCGUUGGCAGCGGUCCAAGUUCUUUGGAACAGGACGUCACAGAGGGUGAGAAUCCCGUACGUGGUCGCUAGCCUUCGCCGUGUAAAGCCCCUUCGACGAGUCGAGUUGUUUGGGAAUGCAGCUCUAAAUGGGAGGUAAAUUUCUUCUAAAGCUAAAUACUGGCCAGAGACCGAUAGCGCACAAGUAGAGUGAUCGAAAGAUGAAAAGCACUUUGGAAAGAGAGUCAAAUAGCACGUGAAAUUGUUGAAAGGGAAGCGCUUGCAGCCAGACUUGCCUGUAGUUGCUUAUCUAGACUUUUGUCUAGUGCACUCUUCUGCGGGCAGGCCAGCAUCAGUUUAGGCGGUUGGAUAAAGGUCUCUAUCACGUACCUCCCUUCGGGGUUGGCCUUAUAGGGGAGACGACAUGCAACCAGCCUGAACUGAGGUCCGCGCAUCUGCUAGGAUGCUGGCGUAAUGGCUGUAAGCGGCCCGUCUUGAAACACGGACCAAGGAGUCUAACAUCUAUGCGAGUGUUUGGGUGUCAAGCCCAGACGCGUAAUGAAAGUGAACGGAGGUGGGAACCUUUUAGGUGCACCAUCGACCGAUCCUGAUGUCUUCGGAUGGAUUUGAGUAAGAGCAUGGCUGUUGGGACCCGAAAGAUGGUGAACUAUGCUUGAAUAGGGUGAAGCCAGAGGAAACUCUGGUGGAGGCUCGCAGCGGUUCUGACGUGCAAAUCGAUCGUCAAAUUUGGGCAUAGGGGCGAAAGACUAAUCGAAC